rnacentral:rRNA from 1 species
ACACCUACGGGUGGCAGCAGUAACGAAUAUUCCGCAAUGCGCGAAAGCGUGACGGAGCGAUGCCGCGUGCAGGAUGAAGCCCCUCGGGGUGUAAACUGCUGUCAGGGUUUAGCAACACAAUGAGCAGACCCAGAGGAAGAGACGGCUAACUCUGUGCCAGCAGCCGCGGUAAUACAGAGGUCUCGAGCGUUAAUCGGAGUCACUGGGCUUAAAGGGUGCGUAGGCGGGUCCGCAAGUGCUUUGUGAAAUCCCAUGGCUCAACCAUGGAAUUGCUUGGCAUACUGCGGGUCUUGAGGUCGGUAGAGGCUGCUGGAACUCUAGGUGGAGCGGUGAAAUGCGUAGAUAUCUAGAGGAACGCCGAUGGUGAAGACAGGCAGCUGGGCCGAUUCUGACGCUGAGGCACGAAAGCGUGGGGAGCAAACGGGAUUAGAUACCCCGGUAGUCCACGCCCUAAACGAUGUACACUAGAUCGCAGAGGCUCUGACGCCAUUGUGGUCGA